CAGGAAGCCCAUUACACAUUUCACGCUGAAGGAAAACUCAUUCUUCUCUUCUUCUUCCUCCGUCUCCUCCGCUCACGGUGGCUCCGUCGAGCUCCGGUGGUUACUCUUCUCUUAGCUCAUUGAUCUCUAGAAGCCACAGACGUUCGUUUAACUACGUUUUGUAGAUACAGAUUGUGAAGCUUGAUUCCAAGAAGAAGUGUUUUGCGUCUUACGUCGUUUCGUAGACAGAAGAUUGUGGAGGUUGUUGGAUUUCCAAUGGCUACAGGGCCGGUUAAGUCUCAGCCUUUGCACAACUUCGCUUUGCCUUUUCUGAAAUGGGGUGGAAAGAACCAGACCAACAACAAUCACCGCAUUCGACGGACAAUCGGCGGCGGUGGCGGUGACUCAUCGCCUGCCGUUGAUCAUUCCGAACCGGAGUCUGAAGCAGACUCCAAGCCUCAACUUCGAGUUGGAUCGCGCACCGCUCGGAACAGAUUCGCGUUUUCGCCAUGCUCACUUGGAGAUAAAUUCGCGAAGCAUUCUGAAGGUGAGGUUGGAGAUGAAGUUGUUAAGGAGCAGAAGCGGGAAGGUGAGGAGGUUGAGGGGGAGGAAAUAGUGCAGAAGCCUUGGAAUCUCAGACCGCGGAAGGGGCCGUCGUUGAGAGGUUACGGUGAUUUGAAGAAUGGAGGAGACUUGCAAGAACCGGACGCGGCAGUUUCAUCUGCUGCUGGUGCGUCUCAGCAAGGAGAGAAUCCGCAGCCGAAAUCGCUCCGGUUGCGGGGAUUUACAGAGUCCCAUAGAAUAGAGAAGAAGGAGAAAAGAAAGUUCUGGAUCGCUCUGUCGAGGGAUGAGAUUGAGGAAGAUAUAUUCAUCAUGACUGGAUCUAGACCUUCUCGGCGGCCGAAGAAGAGACCUAAGAAUGUUCAGAAGCAACUCGAUACUGUGUUUCCUGGACUGUGGUUGGUCGGAGUUACUGCCGAUUCCUAUCGUCUCGCCGAUUCUCCGGCCAAGAGAUAGACACAAUCACGACAAUAUUUUUUUUGAUCUUUGAAGUUGGAAUAGUUUGCCUCGCCUGCCUUGAUUGAGACCCAUGUUGGAGGCUUCCCUAGACUGCUGGGGAGCAGAUUAUCCAGAGCUUGGUUUCUUUUGCAAAAUCUAUAUCUUGUAGCAGUUCAUUCUUUUUUCAGCUGCAGGGGAAUACAUAGAGCAUCACCCUUGAAGAAUGAAUGGGUAACUACUAACUACUAAAAUAGUCUUUGUGUGUGUGUGUGUGUGUGUUGGUAGGUUGGUUGGUUGGUAGUGUUUUCAAUUUCUAAUCUUGAACUGCCAUUGUUUUGAUUUGGAAGCAAGCCUUUGUGAUUCUUUACUCUUUGAUCAGUUUGGUCUUUUCUUGAAUACACAUCUUCUUCUUAGCUGAUGACUGAAGUCUCCAUUAUUGACCAGUGCAAUUUAAUA